UACGUAGGGUGCGAGCGUUGUCCGGAAUUAUUGGGCGUAAAGAGCUCGUAGGCGGUGUGUCACGUCGGCCGUGAAAACCUGGGGCUUAACUCUGGGCGUGCGGUCGAUACGGGCAUCACUAGAGUUCGGCAGGGGAGACUGGAAUUCCUGGUGUAGCGGUGAAAUGCGCAGAUAUCAGGAGGAACACCAACGGCGAAGGCAGCUCGCUGGGACGGUACUGACGCUGAGGCGCGAAAGCGUGGGGAGCGAACAGG
rnacentral:rRNA from 1 species